rnacentral:rRNA from 1 species
CGGAAUUACUGGGCGUAAAGCGUGCGCAGGCGGUUUUGUAAGCCAGAUGUGAAAGCCCCGGGCUCAACCUGGGAAUGGCAUUUGGGACUGCAAGGCUGGAGUAUGGCAGAGGAGACUAGAAUUCCAGGUGUAGCGGUGAAAUGCGUAGAUAUCUGGAGGAAUACCGGUGGCGAAGGCGGCGUUCUGGACCAUUACUGACACUGAAUUGCGAAAGCUAGGGGAGCAAACGGG